rnacentral:tRNA from 1 species
GGUAUUUUGGACUAAUUGGUAAGUCGUCCGACACUAAAAAUAAUUAACUCAUCUCGGAAAAUGCAGGUUCGAAUCCUGAGAAUACCA